rnacentral:rRNA from 1 species
AUUGAACGCUGGCGGUAUGCUUAACACAUGCAAGUCGAACGAUGAGAAAGAGCUUGCUCUUUCGAUUAGUGGCGGACGGGUGCGUAACGCGUAGGAAUCUACCUAUUAGUGGGGGACAACUUAGGGAAACUUAAGCUAAUACCGCAUACGCCCUACGGGGGAAAGAAGGGGAUCGCAAGACCUUUUGCUAAUAGAUGAGCCUGCGUAGGAUUAGCUAGUUGGUGGGGUAAAAGCUCACCAAGGCGACGAUCCUUAACUGGUUUGAGAGAAUGAUCAGUCACACUGGAACUGAGACACGGUCCAGACUCCUACGGGAGGCAGCAGUGGGGAAUAUUGGACAAUGGGCGAAAGCCUGAUCCAGCAAUACCGCGUGUGCGGAGAAGGCCUUAGGGUUGUAAAGCACUUUCAAUUGGAAGGAAAACCUCGAAGCUAAUACCUUCGAGUUUGACAUUACCUUUAGAAGAAGCACCGGCUAACUCCGUGCCAGCAGCCGCAGUAACAC